UACGAAGGGGGCUAGCGUUGCUCGGAAUCACUGGGCGUAAAGGGUGCGUAGGUGGCGCCGUAAGUGGGGUGUGAAAUCCCGGGGCUUAACUCCGGAACUGCAUUCCAUACUGCGGUGCUUGAGGACUGGAGAGGAGACUGGAAUUUACGGUGUAGCAGUGAAAUGCGUAGAGAUCGUAAGGAAGACCAGUGGCGAAGGCGGGUCUCUGGACAGUUCCUGACACUGAGGCACGAGGGCCAGGGGAGCAAACGGG
rnacentral:rRNA from 1 species